rnacentral:rRNA from 1 species
GAUGAACGCUGGCGGCGCGCCUAACACAUGCAAGUCGAACGGAAAGACGAGGAGCUCGCUCUGCUGAGGGUGGCGGCGGACGGGUGAGUGACAAGUAGAUCGCCAACCAAUUAGACUGGGAUUACGUCGGAGAACCGGAGACAAUACCGGAUAUUAUAUUGAACUGCAGGGUGCAGUAGUUAAUGGCGGUUUUGCUGUUAGUUAUAGAUGAUUCCGCGCCGCAUUAGCUAGUUGGUAAGGGAACGGCUUACCAAGGCAACGAUGCGUAGCCGACCUGAGAGGGUGAUCGGCCACACUGGAACUGAGACACGGUCCAGACUCCUACGGGAGGCAGCAGUAGGGAAUCUUCCGCAAUGGGCGAAAGCCUGACGGAGCAACACCGCGUGAGUGAGGAAGGUCUUCGGAUCGUAAAGCUCUGUUAUUGGGGAAGAACAGAAGUGUAAUUAACUAUGGACGUCUUGACGGUACCUAAAGAAAAAGCCACGGCUAACUACGUG